AUCACCCUGCUGCACCUCUGUGGUCCUUGGGCACUAUCUGGUCUCCUCUCUUACUUCUGCCAUCCAGGUCCAACACAUCAGUGCAGGAUUCCUCUGUUUCCUUAAAUUUUCUGGUUGUUUUCUUUCAUAGGCUGAUUUUGAAAGAGAGGUCAACAAGGCAUCUGUUUUAUUAUGAAGAGGUAUAAUGUACCCAAAGAGCUGACUUGUGGUCUUCCAAGUCAUUGGACUGCAGACAUUCUUCUUCAGAGGACACAGCACAGAAGGUUGGAUGUAUCCAUGCUGCUGUCUAGCCCUGGAUUUCCUGAAGGUCCUGUAUGGUGUCCUGUUGUCAUUAACUUUUAGUAUGUUGCAUUUUUUCAAGUUGAAAAUCCCUGAAAAAUAAAAGGACCUUGUUUCACUCUCUCAAGAUAAAUAUUUUUACAGUGUGAAUCAGAAAGUACGUAGUACCUGGCCAGGGAAACAUGUAUGUUCCUUGAGGCUGUAAAGCCUUCUGAGAGUGGGCUGGAGUAAUGUAAUGCUGGAGUUAAAAAUGGAGCAUGCUCAUACAGAUAUCUUUGGAAAACUUUUCCUAGACUGAAUGAUCCCCAGAAUGAUCCCCAGACACCUCGAUUUUGUUGGGAACCAAAUAUUUCAGUGUAAAUUCUUCUGUCUGAACUACCAUGGAAAGUAUUGAUAGAGGAGCCAAGACCCAGAAGACAGCUGGGAGGCCAAGAUAUCUGAUAGUUCUCAAGUGCUUUUUGAGAGUAGAUUAUAAAUACAUUAUUCCCUAGCUAUUAAUUUUAGUCUAAUAACUCUCUGUAAAAAUAUAAACAAGUCAGUUGUUAAAAAUGACAACGUGAAUCUUAUUGCUCAUUACUUAUUUCCUAAGACAUUCAACUCCUGCCACACAAAUUCCAAAGGUUUUACAGCAUCUCUAGUAUUUAAAAUAAAUGUAUUUAAAAUUAUGUUUCCAUCUCUUGCUAUCAGUGGCUAUGGCUGACUUUUAAUAAGAAAUAUCAUUUCAUUUAAUGGUUUGCUCUAGAUUAAUUAUCCCUCAGGCUCAGAAACACAUAUGUAUUGAUGUUUUCUGGCAUAAUAAAACUGGUCUUAUUAAAGUUGGUCCUAACUGUAUAAUAAGGAUUAUAACUAGGUGAAAAAUUUGUGAAUCAGCUCCAUACAAAACAAGCACAGUUGACAUAUUUCAAAGUUGCAGAGACUUUCUUUUCUAAUAUAAGCUCUUGUUGUCCAGUUGAUUAUUUUAGCAGAACAAAGUCCCUCGGAGAAUAAAAAACAUUUUUUUUCAUAAAGCACAGCUCUACUCCAGCCACUCCAGAAAUCUUCAGCAACUAUUAGAGGACUAAAACAAAUGAUCUAUUUUAGAAACUAAAAUUUAUGGAUUUAGUAGGCUACAUAGUGGGAAAUUUUUCAAGAGUUAAUUGAUUUGUCCUAGUGGAAAUCUAACAAAAAGCUCAACUUCAUUGAGCAAUAUUUAUAGCAAACAAUAUUUACAGAAAUCCCAGUCUUAAGGUAAAAAUGAUUACACAUUAAGUUGCAUCCUGUGAACUGCCAUGCUACUAUGAACUGUUUGAAUAUUGUGGUUUCUGAAGAUUAAACCUAAUAAGCUGAAUUUGAAAAGUAAUCUGAAGAGUUGAAUAUUUAUGCUAUUUGAAUAUAAUUUGGCCAGAAAAUGAGAUAAAGGUUUCUUUUCUGGGUUACCGAAUACUUUCAGGGCUACUAUGGUCCCAAAGUCAGGAAGUUCAGGAAGAAAACUGGCUAAUGACAUUUAUGUUGUAUAUGAUAGUACUCAUUGUCCAACCUUGUAACUAGAUGUGACACCAACAAAAUAGCUGAAUUUCAGAC
rnacentral:lncRNA from 1 species